GACGAAGGAUGCAAGCGUUAUCCGGAUUCAUUGGGUUUAAAGGGAGCGUAGGUGGCCUUGUAAGUCAGUGGUGAAAUCCUGUCGCUUAACGAUAGAAUUGCCAUUGAUACUGCAGGGCUUGAGUACAGUUGCCGUUGGCGGAAUAUGACAUGUAGUGGUGAAAUACAUAGAUAUGUCAUAGAACACCGAUUGCGAAGGCAGCUGACGAAACUGUAACUGACAACUGAGGCUCGAAAGUGUGGGGAUCAAACAG
rnacentral:rRNA from 1 species